ACUGCCCCUAGAGGCGUUGCAGGUGUGGCUGCCGUGUCCCGCCUGCGUCAUUAGGUGGCAGAGAGGAGAGAGGCUCCCCUACACCCAGUGGUCAGGCCUUCAGGCCGUGGGCGCCUGGAUGGUUGACAGCCUGACAAG
rnacentral:snoRNA from 1 species